CUUUCAGCAAAUAAAUUAAUCAGAGGAAGAUGGUUGUUCACAAUCAUCAAAUGUGCACCGGAAAAAAGAAGCAAUUGAUUGCCUCAAUAUGGAACGUAGAUGUCAGCAUCAACUACACCACUCAAAAGCGGUCUAGAUGGCCAAAAUCAGCAUUUCCUUUUGUUCUUACUUAACCAGGCCCUUUUCCACUCUGAAACUGAAUUUGCCGAGCUGACACUAGCAAAGUGCAGUAGUAGUAAAAGAAAAAAAAAGAGUAAAAAGGCAGAAGCGUGCAGGUUCAUGACGGUUUCUUCUUCCUCUCGGGAAAACAUGCCGUGCUUCAGCCCCGGCCUCAGGUAAUUGAUCCAUCUCAGCCUGCAACUCUUGCCGUUACGCUGCAGCCCUGCAUGAAAGGCAAAUUCAGAAGAGAAUUCAGCUCACCAGACAAGGUACAUUUGACGAAAAAACACAAAAGCUCAAACAGGCUUCAUCUAUCGUCCUGAAGCUGAACAACACUUUGCAAAUAGUAGGAAACAAAAAAAAUCCCUUCUCCCCUUCCCUUAAAUCAAGGUGCAUUUGAAAAAAAAAAGAAAAAAA